UACGUAGGUGUCAAGCGUUGUCCGGAUUUAUUGGGCGUAAAGCGCCCGCAGGCGGCUUGCCAAGUUCGAUGUGAAAUCUCCCGGCUCAACUGGGAGGGUGCAUCGAAAACUGGCAGGCUUGAGGCAGGGAGAGGGAUGUGGAAUUCCAGGUGUAGUGGGUGAAAUGCGGUAGAUAUCUGGAGGAACACCGGUGGCGAAGGCGGCAUCCUGGACCGACACUGACACUGAGGAGCGAAAGCCGA
rnacentral:rRNA from 1 species